GGCCGCUUAACCGACUGAGCCACCCAGGCGCCCCUAUUUGCUAUUGUUUUAAAAAAUUUUUUACUACAGAUCAUUGGGGGCUCAUAACCUUUCCAGUUUUAGGUUUUAGUUUAGGUUUACGUUUUAGGCCGGUCUUGGGUGCAGUCCAUUCGAUUUUCAGGCUGAGGGACUUGUGCCGGGAUGGCCCCUGGGGCCCCGCAGCUCUUCAAGAAGCGCAUCUGUGUGGUCACAGGAGCCCCGGCCUCCUCACCAGCUUAUUCCAUUUGCACGAAAACUCCUCCCCAUGGACCUGGGAGAGUGAUCCUGGUUUUGCCUUUCAACUCCAGGGCUAGGGUGGUUUUUUUUUGCUUUUUUUUUUUUUUUUCUGUAAGUGAUCAAUUAAUCACUAGAAAUAGACAUGUGGUGCACCUGGAAGUGGACCAAAAUAUCCAGGAGCCAAAUGCUUCCAGUCCGGCAGCAGAAGGGGACACCUGGCGAAGGCUCGUGGGCCCAGCUUGGUGUGGAGCAGGAGACGGGGGCUCCUGCUCCCGUCUGGACUGUGUGAGGAAGACCUGGAUGUGCCUCCCGCUGUUCGGUGAGUGACACUUAAAUGGUAGCACUGUUUGGGGAUAACGAUGAAAACUAACGGCUAUGCUUCUCACUGACAGAGCUAGACUGUUCCAAGAAGCUUGAGGUGGACUACUUUUGGACUUGACUUUGAGAACUUCCAGGCCCAUAUUUGACCUUGUUGGGAAGUUCCGUAAGCCCAAGCGUUGAGAAGAGAACCACCUGGGCGGUCCAUCGUGAACUGAAAUGAACAACGUCGGUUUCACGUUCUUUUAGCCGGGAAGUCGGAGGUCGAAGCACCCCUGGCCAUCAGCUCACCACGCUCAUUCCACAUCGGUUGCCCAGAAUCUCCGGUAGAGACAGUCACCCCCUGAAGCAGCCACUCUUACUUAGACCUGCUAAGAAGGCACCCGGCGAUCUCUGUCAGCAGAGUGAGACUUUAGGACUAAAACAGAAGCCUAGGAGGAGCCCUUGUCUUGGCAAAACCUUGGGUGGAUCAAAUCGCAACACUGCACAGACCUAGUAACUACAGUGGUGAGGUGAGCAGACCGUCAACCUGUCGGGGAGUACGGAGGAGGAAGAGACUAUUCCAGGUAAAACACUUGGUCGUCGAGGACCUUUUGUCCAAGAAGCUUGGCACUAGCUCUAUACCAUGGCCUCAAUUCUUCCACGAAGACAGCGUGACCAACUCAUCUCCGGGGUCCUCAGGGCAGGCGUUUGAGCUCAGUCUUCUUCCUCUAAUGUCCGAUAAAAAUAACCCUACACGUGCAUUACGUCUCUUCAUAGUGUAUUUACAGUAAGUAAAACGGCCCGCCAGGCACACUCAUGCCCUGCAAAAUUGUAACAGCUGCUCAGGGACGCUCGUGCCCGUCACCAAGGCAGCAGGGUCCCCUGAGACUCCGAGAGGGACGAAUGCACGGGGCGGCUGGCUCUGCUAGCGGGCCGCCCGGGGCCCACACCCCAUGCACAGCAGUGGCCUCUCAGAAGCAGACGAUCCGCUUCUCAUCUUGGAAGACUUUGGCCUCCUCUGGCUUUAUCAAGUUUCCAUUUAGGCUGUCGGGGAGAAACAACACAAAACAUUAGCGGUUUGUAGGAGCCUUCCCGGGACGUGUUCCCGACACCCUCCUGUUCUUCACGUGGCCCAGAAGUUCCGGAACAUGCUCCAUUCAGGCACUUGCUUGAUACUGGAUUCCUCUAGACUGGGGGCUUGGCCCUUUUCCCCAGCUGACCUCAUCCCUACGUGAGUGGACCUGCGGCCCAGACCUCUCCCGUGUGGCUCCACUUACUUGACAUCUUCACUUGGAUGCCGCCCAGGGACCCUGGCUCAGUGCACGGGACCACUCUUUAUCCACCUGUGCAAGGUAGCGACCUGGGGGUCGGCCUUGACCCCCUCAUCUUCGUAGUCUAUCUUAUUCCCUAAACAUCCCCAGAGUGCCUCCCUGGGACCUUUCCACGUCCUCACCACCACCAUGGUGGUCUGAGCACCAUCGUCUCUUCUCUGGAGCGCUGCAGUGCCCUCCUGCCUGGUCCCUUUACAUGUACUCUUCUGGCCUCUUCAAAUCCAUUUUCCUGGAGGAGCCAGAAUGGUCUUUGUAAUGCAAAUCUGAUCAUAUCCCUCUUUGCUUCACACCCCUCCACGACUUGCCAUUGCUUUUAGGAUAUAGACCCGAAUACGUGGCACGACCCACAGAUCUCUUAUGGUUUAGUCUACCCCCUCUCCUCUGCCCCCUGUUGCCCCUUCUCCUGCACCGUCUGAACCCCAGGGCCCAUGGACAUCUUGCCGUUUUUCAAGGGCACCAGGCCCCUUCCUGCCUCCGAGCCUUGGCAUUAUGCUAUUCCCUCUACCAGUCAGCCAAUCAGACCUUCACAUUUACUCAGCUGAAUUUUGUCUAACAGACUUGGUGGCAGCAUUGGGAUCUGAAGCGAACUUCCUCCGGCCUCCGGGGCCAAGAAGACCCACAGGCAGGGCACCCUGCCAGCGCACUUCUGAGUUCAAGAGAGACAGGAGGAGACACAGAAUCAGAAGCAGGCCCCAAGCUGUCAGCACAGAGCCCGACGCGGCGCUUGAACCCAUGAACCGUGAGAUCAUGCCCUGAGCCCAAGUCGGUCCCUUAACCUACUGAGCCACCCAGGUGCCCUGACCUGUCAAUUCUUCAUGGAUUCAUUUAUUGUCUCUCUGUCUACAAAGUAGAACAACUGCCUGCCUUGGCCAUUUGGGCCCGCUGUGCACUCAUAAUAAAACUCUGUGGUUUUCUCCCCUGGUUAAUCUGUUUUAUGCAAAUUUAACUCUCAGCCCAGCUGGAAGACCUUGAAGGGUAGAGGACGAAUUUCUCCUUCCCUUUGGUUGGCGUUAUCGGCAGGAUACUAACUCACGGGACAGGUGCCUGCCUGGUAUUGCUGCAGCUGAGAUCCUGGGACAUCUGACAUGCGGCCAGCAGAAGGCUCCACCCUCAAAGAGCUCACAGUCUGGAGCAGACAGCCUCCCAGGAAGCUACUCCAGCGGUAUGAUAGAUGCCACGCAAUGUCAGGGCAUUGUUCACCCUGCCUCCUGUCUCUGAAGCAGAACUCACUUGGGGCAUCAGACCGCAAGUUCUCAUGGGACAGGGAUGAGGUAGAAAUCAAUAUCAGCAUGAACAACGAGUCCCUGUGCCCCUGGUGACUGCGGACAGAGCUGCUCCCUCAUCCCCACAGCCCUGGACAGGGCCGACGCGACAGGACGUCACUACGCCUGGUUCCAUGACAUCACUCACACACACAUGCCUCCUUCAGGCCCUGGGUAGCACACCUUCAAGCUAAAGACACCUGGCCCUGCACACGUAGUUCCUUGUAUAGGAACAGUGGUCCUUCCAAGGCAACAAAUGCACAUUUUUCAAGCCGGACAGAGUUAAAGCAGCUACGUGUUCUUACACCUGUCCUAAUCAGCCUCCGAGAAAAGUAGAGGCCAACCGUUGUCUGCAAACUUCUGCAGCCUGGCCUGCCCCCUCCUCCCCCUCUGCCUGCUGUUCUCGAACCACAGAGUCAGCAAGAAUUGACGUGCUUCUAGGGAAGGGACCACGGGCAGGAGGGGGCCUGGCGAUUAAUGCAAACCAGAGUUCCAACAGCUCCCACAUGCCUUGCGGACUCAGGAGCGGGCACAGGGUCACACGCACCUAAGCCCCAGCGUCCUCCGUCAGCCUUGCUGGAGCUGGGCUCUCCCCUCUAGGACAGCGUCUUCCAAAUGUUUUUUCAAGCACAACCCAAACGAGAAUUACAUUUUACGUCUUGAACCAGCAUCCACGCAGGCACACAUACCCACAUCUGACCCAAGAUUAUAAAAUAAUACUUUGUGCUGUGCACGGUGACUUUUGGUGUCCUGCUCGACCUCAUUUUCCAAAUAAUAUGCUGGUUGCAACCUGCCCAACUGAUUUUAUGAUGCACUAACAAGUUCCAAAGCAAAGUUUAAAAAAUGCUGUGCUGGGAGCCCAGGUCAAGGAGCUGUACCUCGAUGUACUUUUUUUUAGCUGGGAAAUUCUCCCCCGGCAGGACGAAAUGGGGUAGU